rnacentral:other from 1 species
UCUUCCCUGCGGUGUUCGAAUAAAAGGAUUUUAUUUUAACCGAUAACUUUAGAACGGAAUCCUAUCUCUGACUGUGGCUGUAAACCGUACUUGUAUACGGAAACAUUUAAACAGUCAGGCGGAGUCCACCUGCAUAGCAGGUUAAAAAUAUGUCCUAAGUAACGGCAUUGUGGGGUACUU